UACGGAGGGGGCUAGCGUUGUUCGGAAUUACUGGGCGUAAAGCGCGCGUAGGCGGACCUGCAAGUCGGGGGUGAAAGCCCGAGGCUCAACCUCGGAACUGCCUUCGAUACUGCGGGUCUCGAGUCCGGGAGAGGUGAGUGGAAUUCCUAGUGUAGAGGUGAAAUUCGUAGAUAUUAGGAAGAACACCGGUGGCGAAGGCGGGUCUCUGGGCCGAUAUCGACGCUGAGGAGCGAAAGCGUGGGGAGCGAACAGG
rnacentral:rRNA from 1 species